rnacentral:rRNA from 2 species
UUCCGGUUGAUCCUGCCGGACCUGACUGCUAUCGGAUUGAUACUAAGCCAUGCGAGUCAUUGUAGCAAUACAAGGCAUACGGCUCAGUAACGCGUAGUCAACCUAACCUAUGGACGGGAAUAACCUCGGGAAACUGAGAAUAAUGCCCGAUAGAACAUUAUGCCUGGAAUGGUUUAUGUUCCAAAUGAUUUAUCGCCGUAGGAUGGGACUGCGGCCUAUCAGUUUGUUGGUGAGGUAAUGGCCCACCAAGACUAUUACAGGUACGGGCUCUGAGAGGAGUAGCCCGGAGAUGGGUACUGAGACACGGACCCAGGCCCUAUGGGGCGCAGCAGGCGAGAAAACUUUGCAAUGUGCGAAAGCACGACAAGGUUAAUCCGAGUGGUUUCUGCUAAAGGAACCUUUUGUCAGUCCUAGAAACACUGAUGAAUAAGGGGUGGGCAAGUUCUGGUGUCAGCCGCCGCGGUAAAACCAGCACCUCAAGUGGUCAGGAUGAUUAUUGGGCCUAAAGCAUCCGUAGCCGGCUCUGUAAGUUUUCGGUUAAGUCUGUACGCUCAACGUACAGGCUGCCGGGAAUACUGCAAAGCUAGGGAGUGGGAGAGGUAGACGGUACUCGGUAGGAAGGGGUAAAAUCCUUUGAUCUAUUGAUGACCACCUGUG